UACAGAAUCCAUGGCUUCUCUACUCAAAUAUGGCUGGAUGAUGGUGAACAGAAGGAGGCGACCCAGUGAAUGGCAAGCAAGAGGGUGGUAAUCGGGGAACCAGUGCCGGUCAGGGGAGAGGCAGCAUCCUGGAGAUCGGUAGAUCAGAGACGGACAGUCUGCAACUCGAGAUUGGAAGGGCAAUAGCUUCCUUGGACCCUCGAAGGCCACUGGGGCGAAUGUCGUCCCGCUGGGAAGAAGGUCGGUGCCAUUUCAAGCCAUCUCCAACCCACUGGUUCGCAAGCAAAUGGACAGGGAAACAGGGGUGCAGGAUUUUGCAGCUCGAUUGCUUUCGCCCGGGUUAGGCAAGUGGCCCACACUAACCCCUCCCCGGACCAACCUGGUGCCUUGAAGAAAUUAUGGAGGGAUCUCUUU
rnacentral:lncRNA from 1 species